GCAGGAAAAAGAGAGAGAGAAAAAAGGCUAGAUGGAGUACAGGGUAUGAGUGGUUGUUGGAGGACAACGAAUGGACAAAGAAAGUGAAAGGUGGACAUUUAUCAAAAGUUGAUCGACGUGUUCGACAAGGAUUGUUGAAAGUUCAACUGAGAUAGUCUGUCGUUUGAGUGGACUACUCAAAUCACGUUGUAACAUGGUGGAGUUAGCCGCUACCACAGGGGCUAAGUGCAUGCAUGGGACUCGGCUUGGGCGCUAGCAACCAGCUAACGCUAGCUAGCAAGGCCUGUGUAUUGGACCAUGAAGGAGAGGACAAGGGCACUAGCGUUGAGCUAACGCAGCUAGCGAGGCUGUGUUUGGACUUCAAGGAAGAAAAAGGGACGAGGACUAUGAGGACGCCGGACAGAGGAAAAACCACCAUCACCUUUCUUCAUUCCUGCCUUCGGAAGCACUGCAGGGACAUUGGGCAUACCCUACCUGAGACAACAUGGAACACCACCUUGCUGACUCUGAAAUAUACCUCAACAAAAGUAGCUCAAGCAAAGGAUUCCACAUUUUUUCACUCACUCUGGCUACAUAAAGACUGAACCAGGACGGCCACCUCACCCUGAGGGGACAAGGACAUAUCGGAGCGGAGCAUCACAAACGGCACAGCACCGUGCCCGCGGUCUGAGACACCCUGUUUGGGGGGCCCCUCCGAGGGAAUGGAAGCAGACACUACACAACCGUGCUGAACAUCUUGGGAGCAGAGACAACCACGCCGUCCUCUCUGGGAACUUUUUCUUUGCUUUUCGUUUUUUUUAUAUUUACUGUCUCCCUUUCAUGCCAGAAACAUUUCCCGUCCGGCUGGCGCCCAGAAGCUUGACCUACAUCAAACGUGUUCAAGACACAUAAGUCCGACAUUGGGGUCUACUAAAAGUGCAUUAUUGCAUAUUUGGUUUUAAAUUCACGAGAACAGGAAUCCCCAGCUCAAACUCCAAAACUCGAAUCACAAAUUAUUUUUUUCUGCCAAAAAUAGUUGAUUUGUAACACUGCCGUUUAAAAUUACACUGAAACGGAAGUAAGAUAGGCGUUGCAUCUCACUCGUCCGUCCUAAAUUAGUUAUUUUCAUUGAACCAAUAUACACUGCGUGCUCAAACAACAGACUAAGAAACAUUUCCUUCCACAAGCCACAUGGCUCUUAAACUACAUGGGGGGAAAUCCAACUGUUGGGUUAAAUAUUCGAAUCGCUAGUUUUAAACAUCCAUGCAUUUUCUGAACUGCUUAUCCUCACAAGGGUCGCAGGAGUGCUGGAGACUAUCCAAGCUGUCAUCGGGCAUAAGGCCGUGUACACCUUGAACUGGUUGCCAGCCAAUCCCAGGGAAGAUUGAGACAGACAACAGUUUCACUCAUAAUCACAUCUAGAGGCAAUUUAGACUCUCAAAUUAAUGCAUGUUUUGGGGAUGUGGGAGGAAACCGGAGUUCCCGGAGAAAACCCAUGCAGGCACGAGGAGAACAUACAAACGCCACACAGGGAGGGCCAGAAUUGAACCCCGGUCCUCAGAACUGUGAAGCCAACGCUCUACAGCUGCGCCACUGUGCCGCCUCACUUAGCAAUAUUGAACAGAAUCCAGACCACAACAGUCUUUACAUUACAUUUCUGGUUUCUUGAUUUAAUGUUUGCUUUUUAUCUUCACAAAUGAAUUAUUUUUUUUACCAUAAUCUACAGCCUACCAAAGUGAUGACGCGGAGGUUUGUGUGUGUUUGUGGGUGUGCAUGUGCGUACUGCAACUGUGAUUGCUGCUGUUCGAUACAACAAUUUUCAGUAAA